rnacentral:rRNA from 1 species
AGCGAACGCUGGCGGCAGGCCUAACACAUGCAAGUCGAACGAAGCCUUCGGGCUUAGUGGCGGACGGGUGAGUAACACGUGGGAACGUACCUUUUGGUUCGGAACAACUCAGGGAAACUUGAGCUAAUACCGGAUGAGCCCUUAGGGGGAAAGAUUUAUCGCCGAAAGAGCGGCCCGCGUUAGAUUAGCUAGUUGGUGAGGUAAAGGCUCACCAAGGCAACGAUCUAUAGCUGGUCUGAGAGGAUGAUCAGCCACACUGGGACUGAGACACGGCCCAGACUCCUACGGGAGGCAGCAGUGGGGAAUCUUGCGCAAUGGGCGAAAGCCUGACGCAGCCAUGCCGCGUGAAUGAUGAAGGUCUUAGGAUUGUAAAGCUCUUUUAGCAGGGACGAUAAUGACGGUACAUGCAGAAUAAGCUCCGGCUAACUUCGUGCCAGCCGCCGCGGUAACAC